GAUGAACGCUGGCGGUAUGCCUUACACAUGCAAGUCGAACGAAAAUUAGCUUCGGUUAAUUUUAGUGGCGGACGGGUGAGUAACACGUGAGAAUUUGCCUUUAGGAGGGGGAUAACUAUUGGAAACACUAGCUAAAACCCCAUAUGCCCACGGGUGAAACAGAGGAAUAAGGUUAAACCAUAACUCCUCUGCCUGAAGAGAAGCUCGCGGCUGAUUAGCUAGUUGGUAGGGUAAUGGCCUACCAAGGCGACGAUCAGUAGCUGGUCUGAGAGGACGAUCAGACACACUGGAACUGAGACACGGUCCAGACGCCUACGGGAGGCAGCAGUGAGGAAUUUUCUGCAAUGGGCGAAAGCCUGACAGAGCAAUACCGCGUGAGGUAAGAAGGCUUACUGAGUUGUAAACCUCGGUGCCUUAAGGAAGAAGAUCUGACGGUACUUAAGGUGGAAAGCAUCGGCUAACCCCGUGCCAGCAGCCGCCGUAAUAC
rnacentral:rRNA from 1 species